GGCUUGUCCUGCUUUUAUUUCCAUCUAUCUCUACCAUUCCACAUGAGGGAAGAUCAGUUUCUAUUUUUCAGUAGAAUUAUAAAACACAAACCAGAAAGAUUCAAUGCUAAUUUGCCAGAGAUGCCUUGACCAAGGGCAGCCAGUAUCUUCAGACAUAUACAUGAUAAUCACAUUUUGGACAUAGUGUUUGCCAGCCAUUUAUCUGAGGGGCUGUAUAAAAAUUGUUUAUAUUAACAAUAGAGGCUGGGGUCUGGAAUGAGGGGUGUGCUGAGCACAGAUGUUUGAAGUUGGCAAAGCUCUUCUCUUUUAGAACACAUCAAAACUGUCGGUUACAAGUCAGGUGAUAAUUUUUUCUCCAACCCGAAAG
rnacentral:lncRNA from 1 species